rnacentral:rRNA from 1 species
GCAUAUCAAUAAGCGGAGGAAAAGAAACCAACAGGGAUUGCCUCAGUAACGGCGAAGUGAAGCGGCAACAGCUCAAAUUUGAAAUCUGGCUCUCGGGCCCGAGUUGUAAUUUGUAGAGGAUGCUUUUGGUGCGGUGCCUUCCGAGUUCCCUGGAACGGGACGCCAUAGAGGGUGAGAGCCCCGUCUGGUUGGACGCCAAUCCUCUGUAAAGCUCCUUCGACGAGUCGAGUAGUUUGGGAAUGCUGCUCUAAAUGGGAGGUAUAUGUCUUCUAAAGCUAAAUACCGGCCAGAGACCGAUAGCGCACAAGUAGAGUGAUCGAAAGAUGAAAAGAACUUUGAAAAGAGAGUUAAAAAGUACGUGAAAUUGUUGAAAGGGAAGCGCUUGUGACCAGACUUGGGCUUGGUUGAUCAUCCAGGGUUCUCCCUGGUGCACUCUUCCGGCCCAGGCCAGCAUCAGUUCGCCCCGGGGGAAAAAGGCUUCGGGAAUGUGGCUCUCUCCGGGGAGUGUUAUAGCCCGCUGCGUAAUACCCUGUGGCGGACUGAGGUUCGCGCAUUCGCAAGGAUGCUGGCGUAAUGGUCAUCAGUGACCCGUCUUGAAACACGGACCAAGGAGUCGUCUUCGUAUGCGAGUGUUCGGGUGUCAAACCCCUACGCGAAAUGAAAGUGAACGCAGGUGAGAGCUUCGGCGCAUCAUCGACCGAUCCUGAUGUUUUCGGAUGGAUUUGAGUAAGAGCAUACGGGGCCGGACCCGAAAGAAGGUGAACUAUGCCUGUGUAGGGUGAAGCCAGAGGAAACUCUGGUGGAGGCUCGCAGCGGUUCUGACGUGCAAAUCGAUCGUCAAACAUGGGCAUGGGGGCGAAAGACUAAUCGAACCUUCUAGUAGCUGGUUUCGCG